GAUGAACGCUGGCGGCGUGCUUAACACAUGCAAGUCGAACGGAAAGGCUCCUGCUUGCAGGGGUACUCGAGUGGCGAACGGGUGAGUAACACGUGGGUGAUCUGCCCUGCACUUCGGGAUAAGCCUGGGAAACUGGGUCUAAUACCGGAUAGGACCACAUUUUGGAUGGUGUGGUGGAAAGUUUUUCGGUGUGGGAGGUGCUCGCGGCCGAUCAGCUUGUUGGUGGGGAAAUGGCCUACCAAGGCGUCGACGGGUAGCCGGCCGGAGAGGGUGUACGGCCACAUUGGACCUGAGAGACAGCCCACACUCCUGCAGGGGGCAGCAGUGGCGAAUAUUGCACACUGGGCGCCCGCCUGAUGCAGCGAGGCCGCGUGGGUGAUGACGGCCUUCGGGUUGUAAACACCUUUCGCUGGGGACGAAGCGUUUUUGUGACGGUACCUGGAGAAGAAGCACCGGCUAACUACGUG
rnacentral:rRNA from 1 species